rnacentral:rRNA from 1 species
GUCCUUUAGAAUUUAAUUUAAGGUCUAACCUGCCCACUGAUUUAUUUUAAAUGGCCGCAGUAAUUUGACUGUGCAAAGGUAGCAUAAUCAUUAGUUUUUUAAUUAAAAGCUUGUAUGAAGGGUUGGACGAGGUAAAAUCUGUCUCUAGAUAAUUUAAUAUAGAAUUUAACUUUUAAGUCAAAAGGCUUAAAUGUAAUUAAAAGACGAGAAGACCCUAUAGAUCUUUAUAAUUUAUUUAUUAAAUUUAAUUAAGAAUUUUUUAAAUUUUAUUAAUAUAAUUAUUUUAUUGGGGUAAUAUAAAGAUUAAAUAAAUUCUUUAUUUUUAUUUACAUUAAUUUAUGAUUUUAUGAUCCAAUUUUAUUGAUUAUAAGAUUAAGUUACCUUAGGGAUAACAGCGUAAUUUUUUUAAAGAGUUCUUAUCGAUAAAAAAGUUUGCGACCUCGAUGUUGGAUUAAAGAUUAUUUCAGGUGCAGAAGUUUGAAAAUUUUGGUCUGUUCGACCAUUAAAUCUUUACAUGAUCUGAGUUCAGACCGGCGUAAGCCAGGUCGGUUUCUAUCUUUAAUAAAUUAAAAUAUUUUAGUACGAAAGGACCAAUUAUUUAAUAAAAUAGUUAUUUUAAUUUUUGAUUAUUAUUAA